GAUGAGCGCUGGCGGCGUGCUUAACACAUGCAAGUCGAACGGGAAACCUUUUAUUGAAGCUUCGGCAGAUUUAGCUGGUUUCUAGUGGCGGACGGGUGAGUAACGCGUGGGUAACCUGCCUUAUACAGGGGGAUAACAGUCAGAAAUGGCUGCUAAUACCGCAUAAGCGCACAGAGCUGCAUGGCUCAGUGUGAAAAACUCCGGUGGUAUAAGAUGGACCCGCGUUGGAUUAGCUGGUUGGUGGGGUAACGGCCCACCAAGGCGACGAUCCAUAGCCGGCCCGAGAGGGUGAACGGCCACAUUGGGACUGAGACACGGCCCAGACUCCUACGGGAGGCAGCAGUGGGGAAUAUUGCACAAUGGGGGAAACCCUGAUGCAGCGACGCCGCGUGAAGGAAGAAGUAUCUCGGUAUGUAAACUUCUAUCAGCAGGGAAGAUAAUGACGGUACCUGACUAAGAAGCCCCGGCUAACUACGUG
rnacentral:rRNA from 1 species